rnacentral:rRNA from 2 species
AUCAUGAGUUCACAUGUCCGCAUGAUUAAAGGUAUUUUCCGGUAGACGAUGGGGAUGCGUUCCAUUAGAUAGUAGGCGGGGUAACGGCCCACCUAGUCAACGAUGGAUAGGGGUUCUGAGAGGAAGGUCCCCCACAUUGGAACUGAGACACGGUCCAAACUCCUACGGGAGGCAGCAGUGAGGAAUAUUGGUCAAUGGGCGAUGGCCUGAACCAGCCAAGUAGCGUGAAGGAUGACUGCCCUAUGGGUUGUAAACUUCUUUUAUAAAGGAAUAAAGUCGGGUAUGCAUACCCGUUUGCAUGUACUUUAUGAGUAAGGAUCGGCUAACUCCGUGCCAGCAGCCGCGGUAAUACGGAGGAUCCGAGCGUUAUCCGGAUUUAUUGGGUUUAAAGGGAGCGUAGAUGGAUGUUUAAGUCAGUUGUGAAAGUUUGCGGCUCAACCGUAAAAUUGCAGUUGAUACUGGAUGUCUUGAGUGCAGUUGAGGCAGGCGGAAUUCGUGGUGUAGCGGUGAAAUGCUUAGAUAUCACGAAGAACUCCGAUUG